rnacentral:rRNA from 1 species
CCUACGGGGGGCAGCAGUGGGGAAUAUUGGACAAUGGGGGGAACCCUGAUCCAGCCAUGCCGCGUGUGUGAAGAAGGCCCUCGGGUUGUAAAGCACUUUCAGUGAGGAAGAACGCCUGGUGGUUAAUACCCAUCAGGAAAGACAUCACUCACAGAAGAAGCACCGGCUAACUCCGUGCCUGCAGCCGCGGUAAUACGGAGGGUGCGAGCGUUAAUCGGAAUUACUGGGCGUAAAGCGCGCGUAGGUGGCUUGAUAAGCCGGUUGUGAAAGCCCCGGGCUCAACCUGGGAACGGCAUCCGGAACUGUCGAGCUAGAGUGCAGGAGAGGAAGGUAGAAUUCCCGGUGUAGCGGUGAAAUGCGUAGAGAUCGGGAGGAAUACCAGUGGCGAAGGCGGCCUUCUGGACUGACACUGACACUGAGGUGCGAAAGCGUGGGUAGCAAACAGGAUUAGAUACCCUUGUAGUC